AGUGUUUAGUUUAAAAAAAGAGCUGUUGUUUAAAAAAAAAUAUGCCUAAAUUGUCGACGUGUUUGGUAAAUGCCUGCGAGCAAGGAAAUAUUCAAAUUCUCCAGGCCUUGCCCAGAAAAAAUCGCGUUAAUUACUUCCCUUCGCGCUCUAUAAUUAAGGGUUCAAUUAUCAUAAUUCUAUUCAAUAUGUGUUUACUUUAUUUGGGCUAUCUCGCUUAUAAGUAUCUGAACACUUUACAAGAUGAGCAGAAGCUUCAAAUAUCCAACUAUUUAUGUAGCUUGGGUGCUUUUGUGGUUAUCAUCUCACUCCUCCGAAAUAGUGACAUGUCAAAGAAUAAUCCAUACUUCUACUACAUUUAAGCCGUAUAUGAGAAAGGAAAAUUUGAAGCGACAUUGUUUAAUAGCAUCUGUCCAAGAAGAAUCCUUAUAGUAAAUCAUAAUAGUCAUAGUUAUAAUGAUUAACCGUGUCAUGUGUUAAAUAAACGGUUGCGUUCUUGACAAAAAAUAAAGAAAUCAAUUGAAGUAUAUAAUUGUGUACACCAUUGGACGCUCUGGUUUCAGACU
rnacentral:misc_RNA from 1 species